rnacentral:rRNA from 1 species
GACGUAGGGGGCCAGCGUUGUUCGGAAUUACUGGGUGUAAAGGGUUCGUAGGCGGUGCGGCAAGUCGGGAGUGAAAUCUCUGGGCUUAACCCAGAGGCUGCUUCCGAAACUGCUGUGCUUGAGUGUGGGAGAGGCGCGUGGAAUUGCAGGUGUAGCGGUGAAAUGCGUAGAUAUCUGCAGGAACACCCGUGGCGAAAGCGACGCGCUGGACCACUACUGACGCUGAGGAACGAAAGCUAGGGGAGCAAACAGG